rnacentral:lncRNA from 1 species
AAGCCACUGAGCCUGGCCAUUAAGUCCCCAUUUCUUUGGGGUCAACUAUUAGAGCUUUAUUUUGUUGCUUUAAAGGUGUCAUAUUUCCUUGAUUCUUUGUAUAUAUAUAUUUUUGAAGACUUGCGCUGCUAUCUUCACAUUUGAAGAAGCGGUCACCUCCUUUAGUCUUACUUGUUUCUUAUUAAAAUUUUUUUAAUGUUUUUUUUUAAGAGAUGGGAUCUCACUAUGUUGCCCAGGGUGGUCUCAAACUCCUGGCCUCAAGUGAUCCUCCCACCUCAGCCUCCCAAAGUGCUGAGAUUACAGGUGUAAGCUACCAUGCCUGGCUGUCCCCCAGUCUUUGUUGACUGGCUUUGGGAGAGAAAGACCUUCAUCAGUCAUCCUAGCUAAGGAUUUGAGGGAUCGCUCAGAUCUUUUCUGUAGAUACACCCACUCUACUCCUGUUGCUCCCUCUUAGGGAGAGAAGUCUUAGGUUGUAAGCUCCUCUCAAUCCUCCAAAGCUGGGUCUACACUGAGCACCUCCCAUUUUCCCUAAUGCAGUGCUCUGAAGCAUUCAAGGUUGGGCACCUUCUCCCAGUCCAGCAGAGUCAAGCCGGCUGCUCAGAUUUGCAUCUGCCGUUGAGAUCUGUGUACUGUUUGGGAGGAGGGUGCAUGAGACACCAUAUGCUCAGGGGUACGUGGAGUGCUGGGGGCAUGGAUCAGUUGGUUGGGGGGCCCACAGGCAAGUUGUUCUGUGGGUUCAUGGGCGGGCCUCCUGGUGGAGUGUUAGCUGGUUAGUGGGAUCCAUGGCUGGCUGUUGGUUGCUAGGCAUGUCCUUCCCUUCUCCUAGCAGUCCCCAGGUGACUCAGCCAUGCUGAUUCCUCAGUGUUCUGGGGAGAGACACAGGUGGGCUAUUGGGCAGCAUCCUAUAAGGUUGGGGAAGCUGGUGCUCACUCAGCACUCAGUUUCCCCUGUGGGAGAAACCACAGGCCCAGGGGGGCCUCAUUGGAGGAGCACUAGCACAGGUAAACUGAACCUUCUUAGCCUCUUCGGUGUGCUCUCUUUGCCCUGUGGGGUGCUAGAACCUCUCAGUGUUUCUGUGGGGGCAUGAGGGCUGGAACCUCCUAUUCUGUCACCUUCCUGGCCUCUUCCUACAAUUAUUUUUAUGCUCAAAUUGCCCCCGAUUUGGACAGGGGGAGAGCCUUCAGGCUGCUCCUCCAGCCCUCUCACAUGUCCCCAACGUUGUUCAGCAUUUCCUUAUUUUCCAGCACUAGACAUUCUAAGGCUCACCCUGUACUCUCUCUGCUCUUCCCUGGAAAUAGUCAUUUCUCCAAAGAGUUCUGUUCCCUUGGAAUAGAGAAUGGUAUUUACAAACCAAGAAAUGGAUUUCAGGUGUGCCAGUUGUUUCUGGGGUGGCAUUGCUUCUAGGCCCCUUCGGUGGACAGAGCUGGGAAAGAAACUGUGUGUAUCAUAUAUAUCUGCACACGUAAGCUGUGUGUGUAUCAUAUAUAAUACAUCUGCACAUAUAAACUGUGUAUGUAUCAUAUAUAAUACAUCUGCACUUAUAAACUGUGUAUGUAUCAUAUAUUAAUACAUCUGCACAUAUAAACUAUCAUCUGUACAUAUAAACUGUAUAUCAUAUAUAUCUGCACAUAUAAACUGUAUCAUAUAUAAUACAUCUGCACAUAUAAACUGUAUCAUAAUACAUCUGCACAUAUAAACUGUCAUGUAUAUCUGCACAUAUAAACUGUAUCAUAUAUAUUUGCACAUAUAAACUGUGUGUAUCAUAUAAUACAUCUGCACAUAUAAACUAUCAUAUAUAAUACAUCUGCACAUAGAAACUGUGUAUCAUAUAUCUGCACAUAUAAGCUGUGUGUGUAUCAUAUAUAUCUGCACAUAUAAACUGUGUGUAUCAUAUAUAAUACAUCUGCACAUAUAAAUGUGUGUAUCAUAUAUAUCCACACAUAUAAACUGUGUGUGUAUCAUAUAUCUACACAUAUAAACUGUGUGUAUCAUAUAUAAUACAUCUGCACAUAUAAACUGUGUGUAUCAUAUAUAUCCGCACAUAUAAACUGUGUGUGUAUCAUAUAUAUCUGCACAUAUAAACUGUGUGUGUAUCAUAUAUAAUACAUCUGCACACAUGCUUCUCUGUAUUGAAAACCAAAUUGUCACGGACCACUCCCAUUCUCACGCAGCAUUUAGGGCUGUGGCUAGCCUUUCCCAGCUGUAAGAAACCUGUCUUUCAGCAUGAUAAACACAUUUACUUAUUUGCUCAGUCCUCUAAUAUGCAGAAAGUAGUUUUAGAAUUGCCAAAACCAUACAACUUGGAAAAACAAGCAUGAUUACUUCAAGAUGUGUUUGUAGCUCCUUCUGUCCUGGCAUUGGACGUGGAGAGAAAGCACAGACUGUUCCAAGUUUCAUUUUUCCCCUUCUCUGAAACGCAGAGAGCGUUGUUUGUUUCUGUUUGUAUUUCAUUUGGGUCCUCCCUCUAGCCUUAUUCAUAAAUUUGUAAAUGAUCUUUAACAAUCUGUUAUAUUUAUGAUGUUUUACUGCGUGCUGCCUGUGAAAAUGUUUCCUUCUUCUGACACGUUCCAGAACAACUAGGCUUUUAAAUUCCAAAUAUUCCUGUUUCACAAUAAACCAGAUGAGGGCCUCUGUUGUGCCACAGCUUUUGGAAUGUGGUUUAUUACCAAUAGAAGUGGCUGCGUGGCUUGUUAUGGUUUCAAUUACACGUGAGUAACAACCGGGGCCCUUCUGUGUCAGGUGCUGCUGAUCAAGGCUGGCUAAUGGGGACCUCGCUGUCCAGAACGGGCGUUUCCCAUGGCCCGGCCCAGCUGUUUACCACUUCUGUCUACCAUUUCAGAGGGGCUUUGCGGAGAUUAAAUGAGGUGAAGCGCUCUGAGAACCUCAGUCCUAAAGAAUAGCAGUUAUACUGGUUUUUGUAUUAUAUUUAUAUAUUCUUCUUGUUAAUAUACUGGUUUUAAUGUUCAUCGUUCUCUUGGGAUCCCAUGACAGUGAGCCUGGUGUACCUGAGGUCUGGGAUACUCACACCUCUCCCCAGUCCCAUGCUCCCCACUGUGGCAGUGCCUGUCAGGGACCCUGCUGACCCCAGGAAGCCUCGGUGUCCCCAGCGCUGGCUCUGCUCACACAGGCAGCAGGCUUAGUGUUCUCUGGCCUGGCUGCACUGACUGGACCAGGGACAGGGGAAGGGCCCCAAAGCACCCUGUUCCAGGCAGCCGGCCAGUCGUGGCCGAGGAGCUCCAUUCAACAGUGGCACCCAGAGGGGCCAGGGUCUCAUAAAGCUGGUCAGACGCCCCCUCUGGGUAGGGGUGUAGGAAGCGGCUGUGCAGCCGGGUCCCAGGUAGGGAGGCAUAGAGUGAAGGCUGUGAGCAGGAGCCCUGGGGCGGAGGGCCAGGAGAAGGCUGGGCACAGGUCCAUCGGUGGCAGCUGGGUGGGCAGAGCAGAGAGGCUGCAUCUGCACGACGGCAGGGCCCUGGUGUGGGAACAGCAGACGGGGCCCCUGGGUGCGGCGCCUCCUUCCCACAUCCCUGCUGCUCCUGCAUCUGCUGCUGGAGAAGACCACGACGUGCUCAGACCCCGGCACUGGAGAACUCCAGAUGUGGUGAGGGCUGCACGUUAGCUGCAUACGCACAUCUGGAAGGUGAGGCAGACGUGCCCACCGCCUCCAUGCCUGGCCCACAGUUGUGGGCAUGCAGAGCUCCUCUGUGGCAGGCCCAGGCUGCACCAGCUGCCUGGAGAGGCACUGGGGGCGGGGCCUCACUUGAGGGGCAGAUUCUCCCACCCAGCCAGUCCAGGCCCAGCGGCUGGAGCAUCCCGUCCAGCAAAUUGUCCUGCAAGUUGCCCUGGAGACCCAGCGUCUCUCAUCACGUCUCACUCCCCUGCCAGAUGCCUCUGCGGCAAUAACGAGAGUGGCUCUGCCUUCUGCACUGAAUGCCGACAGGUGACCAGAACAUGACACUGGGGUUAUGCAGUGCCCUGGUUGAUAUUCUAGUUCAUCAGGGAGCUUCUGGAAUGAUUUUUUUUUUCUUUUUUUUUUUUUUUUGAGACAGAGUCUCUCUCUGUCGCCCAGGCUGGAGUGCAAUGGAGCAAUCUUGGCUCACCACAACCUCUGCCUCCGGGGUUCAAGUGAUUCUCCUGUCUGAGCCUCCUGAGUAGCUGGGAUUACAGGUGUCCACCACUAUCACUCAGUUAAUUUUUAUAUUUUUAGUAGAGAUGGGGUUUCACCAUGUUGCCUGGGCUGGUCUCAAACUCCUGACCUCAGGUGAUCUGCCUCCUCAGCCUCCCAAAGUGCUGGGAUUACAGGCAUGAGCCACCUCACCCAGCCAACUUUCUUUUGCUUCACUUUUCCUCUGGUUGCCCCAUCUUUAUUGUCAAGUCCUGUUAAGAGGAACAACAUUAAAAUGAGAGCUUUCAUGGCAAAAAGGUUGCUGUGGGUUGAGCUUGCAAUGUUAGCUGCGUGUUAGGAUUCAGCUGACAUCUGUCUCUGGAGUCUCGCCCUUUCUGUAAUUCGCUUUUGACUGUAAUAAAUGUUGUACAGGCCAGGUGCAGUGACUCACACCUGUAAUCCCAGCACUUUGCAAGGCCAAGGCAGGUGGACCACGAGGUCAGGAGAUCGAGAUCAUCCUGGCUAACACGGUGAAACCCCGUCUCCACUGAAAAUACAGAAAAUUAGCUGGGUGUGGUGGCACCUGCCUGUGGUCCCAGCUAUU